ACUUUUUAUGCCCCACCUACGAUAGUAGAGGGGCAUUAUGUUUUCUGGUCUGUGCCUCCGUUCGUUCGUUCGUCCGUCCGUCUGUGCGUCCGUUCGCUUCAGGUUAAAGUUUUUGGUCAAGGUAGUUUUUGAAGAAGUUGAAGUUCAAUCAACUUGAAACUUAGUACACAUGUUCCCCAUGAUAUGAUCUUUCUAAUUUUAAUGCCAAAUUAUAGUUUUGACCCCAAUUUCAUGGUCCACUGAACAUAGAAAAUGAUAGUGCGAAGUUCAGGUUAAAGUUUUUGGUCAAGAUAGUUUUUGAUGAAGUUAAAGUUACAUCAACUUGAAACUUAGUACACAUGUUCCC
rnacentral:lncRNA from 1 species